AGUGAACGCUGGCGGUAGGCCUAACACAUGCAAGUCGAACGGCAGCACAGUAAGAGCUUGCUCUUACGGGUGGCGAGUGGCGGACGAGUGAGGAAUACAUCGGAAUCUACUUUUUCGUGGGGGAUAACGUAGGGAAACUUACGCUAAUACCGCAUACGACCUACGGGUGAAAGCAGGGGAUCUUCGGACCUUGCGCGAUUGAAUGAGCCGAUGUCGGAUUAGCUAGUUGGCGGGGUAAAGGCCCACCAAGGCGACGAUCCGUAGCUGGUCUGAGAGGAUGAUCAGCCACACUGUAACUGAGACACGGUCCAGACUCCUACGGGAGGCAGCAGUGGGGAAUAUUGGACAAUGGGCGCAAGCCUGAUCCAGCCAUACCGCGUGGGUGAAGAAGGCCUUCGGGUUGUAAAGCCCUUUUGUUGGGAAAGAAAAUCAGCAGGUUAAUACCCCGCUGUUCUGACGGUACCCAAAGAAUAAGCACCGGCUAACUUCGUG
rnacentral:rRNA from 1 species